rnacentral:tRNA from 1 species
GCGCCUGUAGCUCAAUCGGAUAGAGCAACUGCCUUCUAAGCAGUAGGUUGGGGGUUCGAUUCCCUCCGGGCGCA